GCGAAGGGCCUUUCAGGCAUCCUCUCCCAAACUUUUCAAGCCCGGCACUCGUUGCCGGGCUUUUUUCUUGCCUGAC
rnacentral:sRNA from 1 species